CUAUCAAUAACAAUAAGCAGAAGCACGUGAAAGGAGGUAUAAAUCAUUGGUAAUGGUGGAGCUCAGGAGUGCUGAACUUGUAGCUCAUUUACUUAAACAGUUAAAUAUUGCCACUUUUGUAAGCUAAAAAAAAAAGGAAACCUCACCUAAUCCAAAACGUCUCACAUUUUCUUUAAUAAAAGCAGUUGUUUCCUCUUUUAUCCCCCUUUUUUGUGUGCCAUAAAGGUCAUCCCUGGUGUGUCUGUUGAGAUCCUCAGCAGCCAAAAUGUAUUAGAGUUCCCACUAAGUAAAUUAAGUUGACUAAAAACGUGGCAAAAAUGGCUGGCAGACCACUCCUGCUGGGUUAUUUUAUACUAUGCCACAGAUUUUAAACAGUUAAGAAAACCAAUUAGCAUCAAGCAGGCGUACGAUACCAUUUUGUUCUGUAAUUCUACCUGUCACUUUUUUAUUUCCCAUUUCAUUCUCAUCUUUCUUCAUAAUUGGAUACAAAAAUACUGAGCUGUAACUACUUGUGCGAAGACAGAUGAGAGACAGACCCGGAACAGAUCAGCGUGUGCGUUAGAAGCCGUGCAUUGUGAAAAUCCAAAAUCAGUUGGAAAGUGAUGAUUCAACCACUAAUAUACGCAUGGGGAAAGAGCAGGAAGGAAGAAGGUGCAAUUUGCUCGCCUGAUGCACUUUGAAACCCUCAAGCCACAUGGCCGAAGGCACUUGUUUACGGGCAUCGCUUCCCAAAUACACUUUGCUUUUGAACUGGUGGAUAUACAAAUCAGGCUAUUGCAGCGCACACAUCUCAAAUGAGGGAGGCCUAUUCCGAUGGAAACAUCUGGUUUCAUUACACCAGACUCCAAAGAUUGGCUCCUAAGCAACACUGCGGAGAUUUUUGUGUAACUUAACCACCUUCCAUUGGUGUGCUGGGACUCUGAGAACUCUCCAAAGAGCAAUACAGUGGAUUCCUGGAAGACUGGGAAUGACUGGUGUGCCAGAGCGAGAACUGGAGUUAUUGUCAAGUAACCUUUUUGAUUAUCUGGUGGGAUAUUUCCUUAGUUUGAUUGGGUUUCUUUUUAAAGAUGAAGUUGGAAAAUAUCAUAGUGCUUUUGUUCUUUUAAUACACCUCUGCCCGAAGAUGUGUGUGUGUGUGUGUUGGCAACUCGAACCGUUGGUUGAUCUUCUCUUACUAUAUCUAUAUUCUCUUACUACACCUAUGAUGCACAGCAGCGUGUGUACUCCAUGCUCCCACGUGCCUUUGCUUACGCUGCCUGCUCGGAUUUUCUCCUCUGACAAAAAUGAAGGAAUGAAAACGCCUUAAUAUACAUUCACUGCAAUGAAUGCUGGGUUUUUUUCUCUGGGGUUUUCGUGAGUAUUGCCCUACUAAACGUUCACACAGCAUCUUGUGGCAUCUCUGACUAGAAAUCUAUUUGUGAAGCAGACCUGUGGCUGGGUGCACUUGAGUGAAGUGUUUCAUACUUAGUGUUAUGUCGAGCAGUCUUGGUACUGGUAUUCACAAGAUUAUGUAGCCUUUUUUUUUUACCCAGUGGGGAAAGCUGCCCGUUUAACCUGUCACUUCACGUCCAAAUAGUCAUGCAUGAUGCUUCCUGUGGGUACCAUUCAACACAGCAUUGGCACGAGAUUUGCUUCCCUCCAACAAAGCGAAGUCCGUGGCUUAAAAUUCCAGCCCUCCCUUUACCACCUACACCUAAGCAGUCAGUGAACCCCAUCUCAUCUUAACGCAUAUAAAAAUGGGUAUUAUUGUUUAUUGCCUAUUAAGUGGAAAGAUUGCCUUGUCAUCCUGCAGUUUCACCUCUUCUGUUUUCCCCUGUGGAAGGAGACAUUUAAAUUGAAACUUUUGGAUUGGAGGUACAGAGGAAAUAAAGCAAGCCACCA